AUCUUGAUAGCGGAAUAAAGUAUGUUUGAAGCAGACUUGUUUUCCUUGUUCAAUCACCAAGAAGAGCGCAUCGCCGACUGUACCCGGACGAGAUGGAAACUGAUCCUCAACCACCUAAACAAAACUCUUUCUAGAGCGUGGGCUCUGCCGACACAACAGCAUCGCUAUGGGAUGAAGUCAUCACCGGACGGGAAUGACGUGCUUCGGCCGGCUUCCUAAAUAGAGUAUCAGACACCCAUGUCUGGUAGUACUAAUGCAUAAAUCCAAUUGAUUUACAGUGCACUAACAUUGCGAAAAAAACGUGCAUUUCGUAAGUAGAUCUUUGGGGCUUCAACGAAAGAUGUGUGCGAAUAAAACUGGCGUGGAAACAUUUUUUUCACUCAUUCGAUAACGUUUGUCAUCGAAGUAAAAUGCUUUCGUAGGAAACCCUACAACCAGUGACUUGGCUACCUUUUUUGCUCCCAAAUGAAAGAAAAUGUAAAGCUAACUGAAAAACUCUUUGAGAUUCACAGAAAUUAAAACACAACAGUUUUCACCUCAAGAUGUUCAUCCUAGUCUGAUGUAUGUUUAGCAGAACCUGAAAUUGGAAUAGCUAAAAAUUGAAUUGCUCUAAAACUUGAAAAUGAAAAAAUAAAUUUUGUUAGUUGACACAAUGA